rnacentral:tRNA from 1 species
GCCUUCGUGGUAUAACGGUCAGCACACUCAACACGCAUUCGAGAGGUCCGUGGUUCGAAUCUCGGCCAGGGCA